rnacentral:sRNA from 1 species
GCAGAACGAGUGGAAAAGUAAAAAUUCCCUCUAAAUAAGGAAGAUAUGCCCGCCGACGGACUGCUCAAUGACUAAAGGUAGAGAACCAAAUAAGGAACGGACAAUCCUCCCAGCGCAGCAUGACAGCACCGGACAACAGUUUGUUACUUCGAUAUCGCAUAUCUCAACCAUCUAUCAUCUAUAAUGCCUAUCGUUCAUUCCUAU